rnacentral:rRNA from 1 species
UGCUCCCUACGGGGGGCAGCAGUGGGGGAUAUUGCACAAUGGGGGAAACCCUGAUGCAGCGACGCCGCGUGGGUGAAGAAGCGCCUCGGCGCGUAAAGCCCUGUCAGCAGGGAAGAAAAUGACGGUACCUGAAGAAGAAGCCCCGGCUAACUACGUGCCAGCAGCCGCGGUAAUACGUAGGGGGCAAGCGUUAUCCGGAUUUACUGGGUGUAAAGGGGGCGCAGACGGCGAUGCAAGCCAGGAGUGAAAGCCCGGGUCCCAACCCCGGGACUGCUCUUGGACCUGCGUGGCUAUACUGCAGGAGG